ACGGGAGGCAGCAGUGGGGAAUAUUGCACAAUGGGGGAAACCCUGAUGCAGCAACGCCGCGUGAGGGAAGAAGGUUUUCGGAUUGUAAACCUCUGUCUUCGGUGACGAAAAGGACGGUAGCCGAAGAGGAAGCCACGGCUAACUACGUGCCAGCAGCCGCGGUAAUACGUAGGUGGCAAGCGUUGUCCGGAAUUACUGGGUGUAAAGGGAGCGUAGGCGGGAAAGCAAGUCAGAUGUGAAAUCCACAGGCUUAACUUGUGACGUGCAUUUGAAACUGUUUUUCUUGAGUGAAGUAGAGGCAGGCGGAAUUCCGAGUGUAGCGGUGAAAUGCGUAGAUAUUCGGAGGAACACCAGUGGCGAAGGCGGCCUGCUGGGCUUUUACUGACGCUGAGGCUCGAAAGCAUGGGUAGCAAACAGGAUUAGAUACCCUGGUA
rnacentral:rRNA from 1 species